AUGGGCGCCUCCAUCCUCCGCUCCGCCGCGCGCCACCGCCCCGCCGCCGUCCAUGCCCUUCUCUGCUCCGCCGCCACCGACACCAGCGCCGCCCUCGUCCGCCCCGCGCCCGCCGCCCGCCGCCAGCUCUGCGACUCCGCCGUGGCGAAGAUGGCAGCCUCGGAAGUGGAGCGGGUGGAGACGGCCUCGUCGGCCAGAUACGACGCCACGGCCAGGUCCAUGCAGGCACUGACAUCCAAGGUCACGAACCUCACCGCCACACUCCACAAGAAGGAAACCGAUGCCGCCUUGGAUCUCACCCGGACUUCAGCAAAGGUGUGCGCGUUGGUGUCCCUUUCGGCCGCGGCGCUUGGGGGCUUCUCGUACAUCGCCAUCAUGCCCCCCGGCUCAGCUCCGCCCGCUGCAACUGAGGAAGUCGACAAGGGCAUGGAGGAGGUCAAGACUCGGCUCCAAGGGAAGAUCAGUGAGUGGUACGAGGACGAGGAGGCCAAGGCCCGCGCCAAGGCCGUCUCCAACUCCAAGCCCGGCACCGUUUCCAAGCUCAAGUCCGUCUCCAUCUCCAAGCCCAAGUCCAAGAUCGGCUCCGCCACCAGCUCCGCCCCCGGCUCCGGCUCCAACUCUUGA
rnacentral:rRNA from 1 species